AUAUUGGUCAAUGGACGCAAGUCUGAACCAGCCAUGCCGCGUGUAGGAUGAAGGUCCUCUGGAUUGUAAACUUCUUUUAUCUGGGACGAAAACGGGAUUUUUAUCUCAAUUGACGGUACCAGAGGAAUAAGCACCGGCUAACUCCGUGCCAGCAGCCGCGGUAAUACGGAGGGUGCGAGCGCUAUCCGGAUUUACUGGGUUUAAAGGGUGCGUAGGUGGGCUUAUAAGUCAGUGGUGAAAUCUCCGAGCUUAACUUGGAAACUGCCGUUGAUACUAUAGGUCUAGAAUUAUCUUGAGGUUAGCGGAAGAUGUCAUGUAGCGGUGAAAUGCUUAGAUAUGACAUAGAACACCAAUUGCGAAGGCAGCUUACUACAUAUAAAUUGACGCUGAGGCACGAAAGCGUGGGGAUCAAACA
rnacentral:rRNA from 1 species